UUUUGAAUUCUGGAGAAAUACAAGUACUGUUGUGAUGACAGCAUGACCUCAUUCUACAAACGGAUAAAAUCGGGUCAAUGCCUCCUUUAGUCCCCAUAUAACUAAUAUAAAUAUUUUCAAACUUCCAAUUGACUUGGAAAGGUGAGAUUUUAAGCUUCAUUUAACCAAAAUAAAAAUAAAAUUCGUGGAAGUUGGAAAAAGCUGAUCAAAAAUGAGUGAAAAUAAUGAAGAAAUUCGAAAUAUUUUAAAAUUUUUGUAUGAAAAAGGGAAGAAUGCCACGCAAGCCACAAAUGAAAUUUGUGAAGCUGUCGGAGACGAUGCUGUAUCAAUUCGCGUAGCACAACAAUGGAAUUAAUUUAAGUCACUCCUCGUUAAACCAUUGAGACACCACUUACGGGGUUUUAGCCAGGUUAAAAACAGCGCACAAGUCGUUUCUUCAUUUAGUUAUUUGGGCCAAUUCGAGAUACCAAGUGCAUUCAGGCCCUUUUCCACUUCAUCUCUCCAACGGAGUGGAAGUCCUCCCCUUCCUCUGCUUCAAAAGGCGAGUACUAAAUCGAAAACAUUCAGGGCUGAAACGUUCUCUUCCACGGAAUUCACACCACAACCAUGGAAUUCACGCUGUGAAAUGUUAACAUUGUUUACACAUACUUAGAACUUAAAACAUAGAGAAGGUGCAAAUUGAAUUCUGUAUGAUGGUUCGGUUGGACGGCUAACAGAGCUGAUAGAAUUGAAGUAAGGGAUUCACCAUUCUAGCUGCUAUUUAGCAGAAAUGAGCACGAGAAGAGAAUUGCUUUGAAGAAAAAAUA